rnacentral:rRNA from 1 species
CCUACGGGAGGCAGCAGUAGGGAAUAUUGCUCAAUGGGGGAAACCCUGAAGCAGCAACGCCGCGUGGAGGAUGAAGGUUUUCGGAUCGUAAACCCCUUUUGUUAGAGAAGAUAAUGACGGUAUCUAACGAAUAAGCACCGGCUAACUCCGUGCCAGCAGCCGCGGUAAUACGGAGGGUGCAAGCGUUACUCGGAAUCACUGGGCGUAAAGAGCGCGUAGGCGGGAGAGCAAGUCAGAUGUGAAAUCCUAUGGCUUAACCAUAGAACUGCAUUUGAAACUGUUAUUCUAGAGUAUGGGAGGGGUAGGUGGAAUUCUUGGUGUAGGGGUAAAAUCCGUAGAGAUCAAGAGGAAUACUCAUUGCGAAGGCGACCUGCUAGAACAUAACUGACGCUGAUGCGCGAAGGCGUGGGGAGCAAACAGGAUUAGAUACCCUAGUAGUC